rfam:Canis lupus familiaris chromosome 30, whole genome shotgun sequence.
AUGCUCACUUCAGCAGCACAUAUACAAAAACCUAAACAAUACAGAAAAGAUUUGCAUGGCCUCUGUUGCAAGGAUGACAUGCAAAUUCAGGAAGUGUUCCAUAUUUUU